AGUGUUUGAAAAAAGCAGUACUACUCGUCGGCCAGUAACUCUUAUCACAUCUGAUGAUGAUGAUGAUGCUGCAGAAGCAGGUCCAUCAAAAGAAGUAUGGAGCAGCAGAAGUGGGACUUCUGUAAGACAUCACCACAAAAAACCUGUGGCCGAAAAGAAAGCAAGGUCGUAUGUCCAGGGCCAACCACAGCAGGCUACCCUGCCACGAAGAUUAUCGUCCGUAUGUUCUGUCCCCCCACUCCAAAUUUUGGACACACCUCCAAGACGUCAUCCACACUCCCCUCAUCUUGAUUCUUCUAGUCCUGGGAACAGCAUCCCUCCGCAACAACAGCAACACAGUGACAUGGAGGAGACAAACAUCUUAGAAAUGCAGCCAUUAAGCCAAGGAAUUAGCCCCCCAGCACCUGUGAGUACACCACCACAGCAAAGCACACCACCACCACAACACAGCCCAACAACACCAGUAACACAAGGCCCUGAUCAGGUGU